rnacentral:rRNA from 1 species
UGGGGAAUCUUGCACAAUGGGGGCAACCCUGAUGCAGCGACGCCGCGUGAGCGAUGAAGCCCUUCGGGGCGUAAAGCUCUUUCGACCGGAACGAUAAUGACGGUACCGGGAGAAGAAGCUGCGGCUAACUACGUGCCAGCAGCCGCGGUAAUACGUAGGCAGCAAGCGUUGUCCGGAUUUACUGGGUGUAAAGGGCGCGCAGGCGGGAUAAAAAGUCAGUGGUGAAAUCCUACAGCUUAACUGUAGAACUGCCUUUGAUACUUUUAUUCGUGAGGUCGGGAGAGAGAGACGGAAUUCCAGGUGUAGUGGUGAAAUACGUAGAUAUCUGGAAGAACACCAGUUGCGAAGGCGGCCUCUUGGUCCGACACUGACGCUGAGGCGCGAAAGCGUGGGGAGCAAACA